UUUCGUAUUUGGCUACGCUUUGUUCUGACGAAGCAGAGCAAUCACUUGCCAGCCAAAGAUCCUCUCCGCAAAUCCCCCGUGUGUCACUCGUCUUUUGUGCAUUAGUGUCUACUGUGACCAUAUGGACAUUUGUUUGACAGGAGUCUGUGACCCUCAAACAGUUUGGGUCUGCUCAGUUACAUGGUGUCUGGCCUGGCUAUUGAAACGAGCAACCAGCAGAACACGGCUUAUGAAAGAGUUGUCUCUGUGGAUGGAGGAUGAACAUUAAUAUUCAUGAGCUGUUACUCAUUUACACUGGUGAGAGCAGAGCCUUUGCACGAGGAGUUGCUCCUUCCAUCUCCUGUGUUACUGUGAUUGUUGUGGUCACCUGAGGUACCCGUGUACCUGCAUACCUCCCCUUCUCCCUUCAACCACAGCUCAGGCACGCGGGGCUGGAGAUGUCUCAGGUGAGCGUCCUUUGCUCUGGAGUGCUUUCGGUUACCGUAUCUCCACAGUAGGAAAUGUCCUGGACCUCUCAAAAAACCUCCAAAACUGACUGCUUGUCCCUAAGUUUUCAAGAGGAGUGAAUACUUUGGCGAUGAGGGAGGAGAUGCUUGCUGGAGCUGGGUAGCAGAAUUUGGAUGGCCUGUGCGAAUGUAACUGCUGGAGAUGUGUGGCUUCCACUCGGGUGGGAGCAGGGGGAUGUAGAUUGGAAGGGUGAAUACUGGCAUGUUAGUUUG